rnacentral:tRNA from 1 species
GAGUGUAUAACUCAGGGGUAGAGAAUGUGCUUGGCAUGCAUGAGGUCCUGGGUUCAAUCCCCAGCACCUCCG